ensembl:lncRNA
GUCAGAGGAAAAGAGAUGGAAUCUUAGUGUACAAAGCAAUGACAAUAUAUGUAUUUACUAAUGAAAAUUACAUACAACAACUGUUAAUGCACAAAUGCAGCUGAAUAUCUAGGUCUGAAGCUUUUCUUCCUCUGUUCCUGGUUUUCAGCUCUGGUACACACAACCUUGGGCACUUGUGAGCUGCUUCUAAAAGGAACCAUAGAAGAUCUUCUCAGAAAAGCAAAAUGUGUCAAACUUCAACUGGGAUCCACAGUUCUGCAUAAAAAGGGUGAAAGCCACCACUCUACAUUAAUAAGGGAGAGCUGAGCCCAGCACCACUGUAACCAGACAUGCAUACUCAAAAAAAAAACUCCAGCUUCAUCCAUUAGAGCUACAAAUCCUUGGUGUGCCAUGCAGAGCCAGCGCUUGGCCCCACGACAGACUGGCAUGCUUGUGUCAGUUGCCAAAUGCGUUGCCAAACAGGGUCUGCCUCACAGCAAUGCAAGUGUUGGAGCCCUUUGGCAAGCCAUCGCGGUGAAGGCAAGACCAAGCACUCGGCAGGAAAAGCCACUAAAUGGCAUCAGCUGUUCAGCUCCACACGGCCCUGGCAGUGCAGAAGGGAAGGGAGCCGCAGCGCUGGGGGAGCACGCAGCCUGCCCGUGUGCAGCACCAGGGCAGCCGCGGGCAGCAGCGCAGUGUGAAGCUCAAGCCCUGUGGCUCCACUUGGCCCACAGGAGAGCCAGGCCUCGGUGCGUGCCAGGUGGAGGAAACCCUGCUCAUGCUGGCUCCCUUCCUGCAGGGCGGUCCCUGGGGAAGAUUCUUCCCCUUAUCAGCACGCCACUCCUCAGAGGGCCAGGCCAACGUGCCCAAGUGCAGGGGCAGGCUGUGAGCACUGAGUUCCCAUACUGCCCGUGGGGAACCUCUCCUGCUCAGGCCACCAUAUGCUACAGAAACUGGCUCUGAGAAAACCUCAAUGAAGCAUUUCCUCUCCCAGAUGCCAAAGGCUAAUUGACCAGCACGAGACCUGCUGAACUUGGUGGAACCGAGGUGGAUAUAAUCACUCAAGAGAGCCAAUAACCAAUUAUCUGAAUGGCUUCAGCAGUUUCAAGGUCUGCCUCUUUAUUCAAGAGCAAAACAAAGAUCAAUUUCUUAAUAUGCUUUGUAAUAUCUGCUAUUCCUUCCCUCUCAUUAUUAUUAUUAGCAUUGCAGCAGUGUUUUUUGUGUAUAAUGAAAGAGUAUGACAAGAGCUGGAGUGGCCUGGGUGGUAGAGAAGGAAUAUGUGCAUAUAUAUACCUACGUUGAUGCGUACAUACAGUGCUAUGGGCUCGGCCCAGCCCACAAGCUCUGGCCGUGGCUGCUGCCAGGCACACACCGCUGGGAGCGUGCACUGGGGCACAGAGCUCGGUGCCCAGCACUCAUCCAGGCAGCCCUCUGUGGUGAUGCGCGUGGAGGACACCGACAUGUGGCAGUGUGCUGGGGCACGUAAUGCCUCCACCUGCCAGGGCCACAUCCGCCAGAGCCCCGUGAGACAUGCUCCUCAGAUCCCAGCAUUGCAUUGCCCUGCAGUUCCCCUAUGUGUUUUGCUUUUGAAACUGCAGGUUCCUUUUCUCUCUGCAGCUACAUCACCAACUGAAAUCGUGUUCCUUUUGUCAGAAAGCCUCCAGCACUGCUUGCAGCCUUCUGUCUUACUCUGAAAUACUAAAUACCACCGCACUGUACAAAUUCCUCCCCUUCUCCCAAUACCUCCUUUUCUCGCCCCCUGAAAUCAGGGCCACUUGGAGAUAAUGCUCUCACGCAUGAAGAUAGGAACAGCACCAUCACCAUUUCCGAGCAUCUCCCACAGACACCACCGCGUGCUACCAGCAGCCUGCUGGUGAACGUGCAGGCUUCCCUUCUGGAUGCGUGGCUCUGCAUGGCCCUGAGAAAGCCCCCUCCAAACCAGCAGCAGCAGGAGCGGCCUCAUUUCUUGUGCCUUUCAGCUGAGAGCGAUUUACCAGACUGCAAAACAGCAAAUCAUUGCAGAAGGGGUCUCUGGAGGAGAAACGGAGACCCGAGAGGAUUGGGGCGAUGCUGGAAGCCCUUUUUUAAGGAGCUGUAGAUGGAUAAUUGUCCAAGACAGAGUGGCUUGUUGACUUUCUCAUAGCAAAAGGCAGAGGGCUGUUUAAUUGAUUUUAGCCUGUAACUAAACAUAUACUUCUUUCAAUAUAAUGAACGGCAAUGCUAAAAUACUGUUCUCCUAAUGUAAAUUGAUCCAUUACAGAUGAGUGUUUAGAUCAAUGUGUGAUGUCCUCAUUGGAAAUAAAACUGUUUGCUCAAGAUCGUUAUAAAGACAACGGGCACUGAUAGAUGAUAUCGAUGUGACAAGGCAUGGCGCUUUGACAGGAUAUUGCCCAGAUGAUGCCCGCCAGUUAGGAAACCAACAUUCACCCAACAGCCACAUGUGCCUUUUUAGAGGCAACAAGAGGAAAAGAUACCAAUGCC